CCUACGGGAGGCAGCAGUGGGGAAUAUUGGACAAUGGGCGAAAGCCUGAUCCAGCCAUGCCGCGUGUGUGAAGAAGGCCUUCGGGUUGUAAAGCACUUUCAGUGGGGAAGAAAGCCUUGUGGCUAAUACCCUCGAGGAAGGACAUCACCCACAGAAGAAGCACCGGCUAACUCCGUGCCAGCAGCCGCGGUAAUACGGAGGGUGCGAGCGUUAAUCGGAAUUACUGGGCGUAAAGCGCGCGUAGGCGGUCUGAUAAGCCGGUUGUGAAAGCCCCGGGCUCAACCUGGGAACGGCAUCCGGAACUGUCAGGCUAGAGUGCAGGAGAGGAGGGUAGAAUUCCCGGUGUAGCGGUGAAAUGCGUAGAGAUCGGGAGGAAUACCAGUGGCGAAGGCGGCCUUCUGGACUGACACUGACGCUGAGGUGCGAAAGCGUGGGUAGCAAACAGGAUUAGAUACCCUAGUAGUC
rnacentral:rRNA from 1 species